CCGUUUUCAAUUCUAUUCCCUCUUUUAUUUGCCGUUUCAACUUCACAUAAUGCUCUCAAUUUGGGAGGUUCCUUUCAACCUUGGAAUCUCCUUUGAUUUGAUUUCAACAAAACAAAGAGAAGAAAGCCAUGGCCUCUUCACACGGUGUGCAUGGCGUGGAGGAGUUAUUUGCGGAACAUGGCACGAGUGGAAGAAUCAACUAAAGGCUGCUGUGGCUGAAGCUUCUAAGAUUUCUGCUGAAAAUUCCCUAGGUGUUUUGGGCUUGGGGUAUUUUGGGUUAUUUAGGCUAGUUGGAUUAAGUUUAAUAAUUUGAACCCAUUAUUUUAGUUGCUGGACUAUGUAAGAAAUGAACAUUGGACUAUUAUUUAUAUAUUUUUUAGUUUUA